AUCUGCACCGCUGGCUCUCAUUUGCCUGUAAAAGCAGCAGGUGAAUCAGAGUGUCCUGAAUGCACAGCAGCCCGAGAGCCAGGCUGCUCUCUGAAAAUGAGACAGUGAGACAGAGGAGACAAUAUUCCUACCCAAAAUGGCUGCAACGAGCUGAGAUGAACGUAGGCAACAGCACAUGAGCAGCUGAGAAGGCGCUGUAGCCAGCCAGCUGCCCGAGGUCUGCAGGAAUAGAGUGGAGCAGUGUCCUUUGCUCACUUUCAGCCUGGUCUGCUGAGCCUUCCCCUCCUGGUCGUAGGCUCACUGAUUUCACAAAGACAAGCAGAUUUGUGCACAAGGCUAAGUGACGCAGUGGUGUCUGGCUGUGCUUGCAGAAUCUGAAACAAUAACUCUGACCUGCCCGGAUCAUCUCAGUGCCUGCCACGUCAGAUGCCCUGAGCUGAUACUGUAAUACAGACAAAGUUAACUAUUUUGCUACCUAUAAAAGAAGAAAAAAGAAGGGGGAUGAAGGAGCUGCAUAUUUAGCUGUGACUAAUAUUGUAUCUCAGCACUGUGAGUACUCGAUCUGGGGAUCUGCCCAUUUCCCUGCCUCCCCCUCCAGCCAGAAAUGUAUUUAGCAGGACUGAGCUACAUCUACAUCCCUUUUAAGCCUCUGUGAUGGCAGGGGACAAUAAGCUUGCUGAGCCCUAUAAUGCUUAUGACUCUGCAUGGAUGCCAAGGAAGGGGUGCAAGUCCUAGGGUGUCCAGGGAAAGUGCGUUAUCAUACCCUGAAUAGUGCUCCACACAGCUGCCUCUUCCCUCACCCAGCUGGCUUUGGGAAAAUGUUGUCAUGAUUUCCUUUUUUGUCUGGCUUGUUCUGUUAUUUCAUUAAACGGCGUACCUCACAUAUGGCUGCAUACUUCCUCAUUGCUUUCAUAGCUGUGCUUUUCUUCUGUUUUU